rnacentral:lncRNA from 1 species
GAGACCCAGUACGGUGGGGCAACUGAGAGCAGUAAUGGGCUUAUUGGGUUACUAUAGGCAAUACAUAAAAGAUUUCUCUCGGAUCGCAGGACCACUUUACAAUCUGUUGAAAGGGACAGCAGACAGUCACAAAGAAAAACAGACCAGGACAAAUCCAAAUGAUGGACAUCUGAAGAGGAGAGACAAGGGAGUGCCUUCACACACCCCAAUUGUGUGGACUGAAGAACAUCAGAUCAUACUUGAGAGGCUAAUAGAUUGUCUUGUUGAGCCUCCAGUGCUUGGGUUCCCAGACUUCUCACAGCCGUUCAUAUUGCACACAGAUGCCUCCAAUCAGGGGCUCGGGGCCGUACUGUACCAACAGCAAGAGGGAAAACUUCGUGUGAUAGCCUACGGAUCAAGAACACUGACUGCACCAGAACGAAAUUACCAUCUACACUCUGGUAAAUUAGAAUUUCUGGCGUUAAAGUGGGCAGUCACAGAGAAAUUUAGGGAUUAUUUAUACUAUGCUCCCACAUUCACUGUGUUUAGUGACAACAAUCCCCUGACGUACAUAUUGUCCAGUGCCAAACUAAACGCCACCGGAUUCAGGUGGGUGGCAGAACUUGCAGACUUUCACUUCACCAUCCGAUACCGCCCAGGCAGAGAGAACGUGGAUGCAGACAGCUUGUCCAGAAUGCCUGUGGACAUAGAAGCCAUGAUGAGUCACUGCACAGAAGAGCUUUCAUCUGACUGUGUGGCUGCAGCAACCCAAGCCUUUCAGACCCAAGACUCUUCACUUUGGGCGUGUGCAAUGUUAUCAUCACCCUUGCAGUGUGACAUUGAGAGUGAGAACGGACUAAGGCCUCUGUCUGCACCAGAGAUCAGGCAAGCACAACGGAACGACCAACACAUAAGCUCAGUGAUACAACUCAAACUCACGAACACAAAACCAUCUGAAUCUAAGAUGAAAACCCUCAGCAGUCAGAGUAGAUGCCUUCUACGUUGGUGGGAGAAACUUUACAUGAAUGAGGAUGGUAUCCUCUUUCGAAAGGCAGGAAAAUACAAUCAGUUGGUAUUACCCGAAAAGUAUAAAGCUACAGUUUUGAAGGAGCUACACGAUGAGAUGGGCCACCAAGGCAUUGAUCGAACAACAUCACUGAUCAGAGAGAGAUUCUUUUGGCCCUAUAUGCAAAAGGAAAUAGAACACUAUGUGGCUAGAACCUGCACAUGCCUGAAACAAAAGAUACCCUGCAGAGAGACAAGAGCCCCACUGGUUAAUGUUGUAACCACGCAGCCCUUUGAGUUGGUGUCCAUUGAUUUCCUCCACCUGGACAAAUGCCAAGGCGGAUAUGAAUACAUAUUGGUCAUUGUUGACCACUUCACCCGCUUCGCCCAGGCAUAUCCCACCACCUCAAAGUCUGCCAAAACUGUUGCAGAUCGGAUUUUUAAUGACUAUGCUUUAAAGUUUGGACUUCCAGCUCGAAUCCACCAUGAUCAGGGAGGUGAGUUUGAGAAUCAACUCUUUGCCCAACUGAAGAGGAACUGCGGUGUGUUAGGGUCAAGAACGACACCAUACCAC